CUGAGACAAUAUGUUGAAGGGCAAUAGAGGUCUUUGUGAUGUCAACAUCUUGGUCUUUGUCUUUGAAUUUACUCUUUUAUGUGUGACAUUUUUUUCUUUGUGUUUUGCUUUGUGUUUUACGUUUUUGGUUUCUUUGAGUCUUUGUGUUUUUGUUUCCAUACUUAGUCAUUUUUUUUCGUUGGUUUCUUUGUUUUGUGUCAUAGUCUUUUUGGUUUGUUAGUUUUUGAUUUUGCUAAGGGACUAGCAAAAGCUAAGUGUGGGGGAAUUUGAUAGGAGCAUUUUAAAGUGGUAUUUUAAUAGUUAAUUCCUCACAUUUUGCUUAGUUAAUUCCUUAACGAAUCGAUUUUUAACUCAAUUUCUAUUUUCUUAGGUACAUUGGAGUAAAUGAUGGUGAAAUGAGCAUUAGGUCCACACUUACCUAUAAAUGGUGGAGAAAAAUGGAAAUGUACUAAAAUGUCAAUUUUACACAUUUUCCUACUCCGGCUAGGAGAAACCAAGCCAAGCAAGGAAGAAGGAGCGGCCGCCGGACCAAAUGAACUUCAAAUGAGCUGAAACUUUCCAGAUCCAUUCUACACAUCCUAAGGAUCAUUUCUUAUGAAGAGUGCCAGAGCUAUAAUUGAGUGGAAGGCCUUCAAACAGUCAGCCCAAUUUCCUGCAGAAGCAAAACUGGAAAACUGGACCUGUAAGAGGUCCAGCAGCAUUUCCAGCCCAAAGGCAUGGAAAUAAAUUCUGAAAUUUUACCAAAAUGAUCUACACUCAUGGUAGAUCAUUUCAUAUGAAGAAGUCACAAGCCAAAACUGAAUUCCUGUUGGAGAAAUAAUUGAAGGAAUAAAAUGGCAGAAACUGACCUAAAACAGCUCAACACCACAUGUUCAAGUUUCCUACCCACAUGAAGAAAGCUAGAUGCUUUUCUCUUUUUCCUUGGAUAUAUUUUUCUGCUCCAAUAGAUCAUCAUCACUUCCAUACUUCUGCACCUUCAUGCCUUGCUUUCAUUUCAUCAUUACUCCAUCUUUUCCAUAUUUUACAAACCACUUUCAUUAUUUUUCUUCCAUUUAUCAUUUCACUCUUCUUUUUCUUCCCUAUAUAAACACCUUCUCCUCUCACUCUAAGUACAUUCCUUCAUCCAUUUCAUCUUCUUUGUCUCUCCAUUUCUAUUCCAUUUUUCUCUCCAUUCUCUAGUUGCAAAAUUCUGCGUUUUCAAGUAAGAAGAAGAAGAAGAAGAAGGAGCCGGGAAUAUCAUAUCCUCCAUCGUCCACCUUGAAGGCUUGCUUCCAAGAUUCAAGAUUUCAACGUUUCAAGCACUCCAUCUCCAUCUCCAACUCACGGUGUGUACCCUCAAUCCCCGGAAUAGAACGAUCCCUAUUUGCUUAUACUACUAACGAUGUUUUCAGGGUUAAAUUAUGCGCUUGCUUUGAGCGUAUCAUGUUGCUGCAAUGGCUCCCAACACAGAAGAAGGAAAUAAGCAGAGUUGCGGAAAUCGAAAGAAAUUGGCGCGAAAUUGGAGCAAAUUGAAAUAUUCCGACAAAAGGACAAAAUAGUAGAGCAUGGGUCAAGCACUAGUCGACACUGUCAAGAAAUGCGGAAGAAAAUUGGGGAAAAGAAAUAAAUUGAAGAAAAGGAAAAUUACAACCUUAAUUAACCAUUAGUUUUAAUUAACCAAUGGUUGGUUAAUUAAGGCUAAUCAUGUGCUGCACGUUAGCUUAAUUGGAAGAGACUAAGUGGUGUUAGCUCAGUGCUUAGUCAUGGGUUCGAGUCACCAUGGGGGCAGGAGUGAAACCAUUUGAUCCUCUUUUUAAAUAGAAGAAAAAAAAAAAAUAACAAAAAAAAAAAAAAUAAAUUGGACGGGUCUAAAACCAUUGUCGACACAUGGCAGCAGUACAAUUAAGCAGGGUGGCUUAAUUAAGUUAGGAAGCAUUGCAGCGUGUUUUUGCUUCACUACACGCCAAAGACAAAAUCCUCUCCUUCUCUCGCGCGUCAACAGCCAUCCACCUAUCUCAUAUCCCUUCAAAAAGACCACGUUUCCAAUUAAUCAGUCUCCCAACAGCUAUUUACUAGCAAUGUUGCCCGCGCUUUGCCGCGGGGUUUGGAGCUAAUUCUCCCGCGCGAUGGUGUGGGUUUUUUUUUUAGGAUGAUAAUUUUGAGGAAAGAUAUACUUCAAGAUUGAACUAAAAUCAACCACUACAUAAUGGAACAAUUACUUGCUUUGAGCUGAAACUGAGAGCAUAGCUUGUAUACAUAAAAAUAUGAUGUAAAUCAUAUUACAAUUGAGCAAGUAGGGAGAGAUUUCAUGGAUUGCAGCUUUAAGAAAAUCAAUGAAGCCCAUCAUAUUUGUCAGUGUUCAA